CUACGGGGUGCUGCAGUGAGGAAUUUUGCGCAAUGGGGGUAACCCUGACGCAGCAACGCCGCGUGAGUGAUGAAGGCUUUCGGGUCGUAAAGCUCUGUCAAGUGGGAAGAAUAUACGAAAUGCUAAUACCAUUUUGUACUGACGGUACCACUGAAGGAAGCACCGGCUAACUCCGUGCCAGCAGCCGCGGUAAUACGGGGGGUGCAAGCGUUAUUCGGAAUUAUUGGGCGUAAAGAGCACGUAGGCGGCCGCUUAAGUCAGAUGUGAAAGCCCGGGGCUCAACCCCGGAAGUGCAUUUGAAACUAAGUGGCUUGAGUAUGGGAGAGGGAAGUGGAAUUCCUGGUGUAGAGGUGAAAUUCGUAGAUAUCAGGAGGAACACCGGUGGCGAAGGCGACUUCCUGGACCAAUACUGACGCUGAGGUGCGAAGGCGUGGGGAGCAAACAGGAUUAGAUACCCCGGUAGUC
rnacentral:rRNA from 1 species